rnacentral:piRNA from 1 species
UUAGUUUGGGCGUGAAUGAAA